AUGUCAGCCAGCUCACUCACCCAGGAGCCAGCGCCCCCCGCGCCCCCCACCCGAUCCGGCAGCAGGGACUGCAAAGGGAGGUCCUGGGGUCAUUGCUUCAGCCCCCUCCCCAGCACAUACACACACACACACACACACACACACACACACACGCACACACACACUGAGUGGGUGAAAGGGGGGAAGGGGGUCUGCGCCCUGGAAUCCAUGCCCAGAGCCCGGGCAGACCUGGAGGUUCCCACACACACACGGCCCCAGCACCUGUGGGGGUGGGCAGAGGGUGGAAGUCCGUCCUGGCUGCUCCCACGCGGGAGGCUGGCGGGGAAGCGGGCGCGGAAAGCCAGCGCUGCCCUCCUCCGCCAAGGCCAGCCCCUCUCACCCGUGCGUUCCCCCUCCCCGUCAGCGCCCGGGGAAGCAGAGCAAGGAAACGGCUCCUACCUAAUGCCAAGACUGGAAAGGGCUUUCCAGACACGCACCUUUGCCGCCUGGCCACUCCGGGAGCCGGGCUGGAACUGCGGCGCGCGCCCUGCCUGCCCGCCGGGCCGCCUGCGACCGCCCGCCUCGGAGAAGCCAGCCCCGCACGCCCCGAAGCCGCAUUUCAGCGCUCAGCCUCCACCUCCACCUCCGUGCCGAGGCCCGCCUCCAAUGAUAUCAUGUGUCCAUCACGGGGACUGCUCGAAAACCUGGAACAGGAUUUCCUCUGACAGGCAUUUCCUCCGUGGUGUUUACAGAAGUGGACGGGGUGCAGGCAUGCACUUGCACGUUCGUUCUCCCGAGGCAGGCAGCCAGGCUGCCCUACUUGGAGCCCUUCCCCUUCGCUCCGGCUCAAGGGGGUCCGCAGAGCCUUCCGGGGGUAGGGGGAGGGGGCGAAGAGGGAGGAAAGGAGGGAGGGAGGGAGGGAGGGAAGGAAGGAGAGAGACAGAAAGGGAGAGAAGGAGGGAAGGAGAGAGAGACAAAGAUAGAAAGACGAGACAGAGACAAGCUUUCCUAAGCCAAUGGAAACUGCUUGGGAAGGAUCAGAGAAAGUAA
rnacentral:lncRNA from 1 species